GAUGAACGCUGGCGGCGUGCUUAACACAUGCAAGUCGAGCGGACCUUCGGGUUAGCGGCGAACGGGUGAGUAACACGUGGGUAACCUGCCCUUGACGUUGGGAUAAGCCUGGGAAACUGGGUCUAAUACCGGAUAUGAGCUUCAAUCGCAUGGUGGGGGUUGGAAAGUUCCGGCGGUCAGGGAUGGGCCCGCGGCCUAUCAGCUUGUUGGUGGGGUGAUGGCCUACCAAGGCGACGACGGGUAGCCGGCCUGAGAGGGUGGACGGCCACACUGGGACUGAGACACGGCCCAGACUCCUACGGGAGGCAGCAGUGGGGAAUCUUGCACAAUGGGCGAAAGCCUGAUGCAGCGACGCCGCGUGCGGGAUGACGGCCUUCGGGUUGUAAACCGCUUUCAGCAGGGACGAAGCGGGAGUGACGGUACCUGCAGAAGAAGCCCCGGCCAACUACGUGCCAGCCGCCGCCGUAAUAC
rnacentral:rRNA from 1 species